rnacentral:rRNA from 1 species
GACGAACGCUGGCGGCGUGCUUAACACAUGCAAGUCGAACGGUAAGGCCCUUUCGGGGGUACACGAGUGGCGAACGGGUGAGUAACACGUGGGUAAUCUGCCCUGCACUCUGGGAUAAGCCUGGGAAACUGGGUCUAAUACCGGAUAUGAGCCUUCAUCGCAUGGUGGGGGUUGGAAAGUUUUUUUCGGUGCAGGAUGUGCCCGCGGCCUAUCAGCUUGUUGGUGGGGUAAUGGCCUACCAAGGCGACGACGGGUAGCCGGCCUGAGAGGGUGAUCGGCCACACUGGGACUGAGACACGGCCCAGACUCCUACGGGAGGCAGCAGUGGGGAAUAUUGCACAAUGGGCGGAAGCCUGAUGCAGCGACGCCGCGUGGGGGAUGACGGU